GCUCCCUGAGAAGACACAAAAUCCUGGCUCAAAUCACAGAAAUGCCUAAGCGCCCCUCAAGAUAAUGUCAAUGCACCAGAUACAUCGCGGGCCCUAGCACGGGGCCAGGCUAUGGUAUUUCACACACGAUUGUGUGGUCAAAGUUCAAUUCCUUGUUCAAUAAGGAUGUGGACAGCAGUGGGUCUGACACUUUGCUUAAGAAGCAAUUUUUAUCUGAGGAUUAUAGAGGAACAUUCCGUUUUAACGCCCUGGAGUAGAAACAUGGUUUUAUUUCCACAUGGACUUCAUCGGAGAUACCAGCCACCACUGCUAGAGAAACUAACAGACCUCAGCAAUGGCAGUGGGGGGCCAGAAUGCAUUGAAGGAUUUUUUCCAAGAGAAAAACCCUCCACACCAUCACCACCUUCAAGAAAAGUACUUCUAAACUGUUUGUGCGCAGUCGACCACACGACCACACUACAUACACGCAGAGCGUAAUCCUUCUAAGAAUUCAGGACCACUGUCACAGCUCUGCGGUGGGUAUGGGACAUCGGCAUGGGGCAUUUAAUGGUUUCUUUCUUUUUUUUUUUUUUUUCUU